rnacentral:snRNA from 1 species
GAUGAGAAAUACCUUGAAUAUAA